UACGUAGGGUGCAAGCGUUAAUCGGAAUUACUGGGCGUAAAGCGUGCGCAGGCGGCUUUGCAAGACAGAUGUGAAAUCCCCGGGCUUAACCUGGGAACUGCAUUUGUGACUGCAUGGCUGGAGUGUGGCAGAGGGGGAUGGAAUUCCGCGUGUAGCAGUGAAAUGCGUAGAUAUGCGGAGGAACACCGAUGGCGAAGGCAAUCCCCUGGGCCUGCACUGACGCUCAUGCACGGAAGCGUGGGGAGCAAACAGG
rnacentral:rRNA from 1 species